CUACGGGACGCAGCAGUAGGGAAUCUUAGACAAUGGGGGAAACCCUGAUCUAGCCAUGCCGCGUGAGUGAUGAAGGCCUUAGGGUUGUAAAGCUCUUUCGCUGGGGAAGAUAAUGACGGUACCCAGUAAAGAAACCCCGGCUAACUCCGUGCCAGCAGCCGCGGUAAUACGGAGGGGGUUAGCGUUGUUCGGAAUUACUGGGCGUAAGGCGCGCGUAGGCGGGCUAUUAAGUCAGGGGUGAAAUCCCGGGGCUCAACCCCGGAACUGCCUUUGAUACUGGUAGUCUUGAGUUCGAGAGAGGUGAGUGGAAUUCCGAGUGUAGAGGUGAAAUUCGUAGAUAUUCGGAGGAACAUCAGUGGCGAAGGCGACUCACUGGCUCGAUACUGACGCUGAGGUGUGAAAGUGUGGGGAGCAAACAGGAUUAGAUACCCUUGUAGUC
rnacentral:rRNA from 1 species